UCGAAUAGUCGCGUAUAGCAAGGUCGAAAGGCAGCGUACGAGGAAAGUCCGGGCUCCAUAGAGCGAAGAUGCUGGAUAACGUCCAGUGAGGGUGACCUUAAGGAAAGUGCAACAGAAAAUAACCGCCAUGUUAGAGGUUAGAUGUUAGGGGUUAGAAAAAAUAAUUUAAUGCCUAACUUUUAACAUCUAACCUCUAGUAUGGUAAGGAUGAAAAGGCGAGGUAAGAGCUCACCGCCAAUAUGGUGACAUAUUGGGUCAGUGUAAACCCCAUCUGGAGCAACACCGAGACAAGAAGGUUAAUGGCUGCUCGUCAGUCUUCUUAAUUUGGUGGCUUGAGGCAUAUAGUAAUAUAUGCACUAGAUAGAUGACUAUUCAAGACAGAACCCGGCUUAUAGAUUUACUCUU
rnacentral:RNase_P_RNA from 1 species